GACGAACGCUGGCGGCGUGCUUAACACAUGCAAGUCGAACGGUGAAGCGCCUUCCUUGUUGGUGGGUGUGGAGGAGCGGCCAACGGGGUAGUAACACGUGAGUAACCUUCUCCCUUCUGCUGGAUAACGGCAUGAAAGUGCUGCUAAUACGGGAUAUUCUGGGCCUCUUGCAUCAUGGGUCAGGGAAAGACUUUGUUUCGGUGGUGGAUGGGCUCGCGCUGCAUUAGCUAGUUGGUGGGGUAAUGGCUUACCAAGGCGGCGAUGCAUAGCCGACCUGAGAGGGGGGUGGCCGGCCAUAGUGGGACGGAGAGACCGAGAAGACUACGACAGGCGGCAGCAGUGGAGAAUAUGGCACGGUGGGAGCAAGGCUGGUGCAGCGACGCCGCGUGAGGGAUGGAGGCCUGAGGGUUGUGAACCUCUUUCGCGAGUGAAGCAGGCUUGCCUCGUUUGUGGGUAGGUUGACGGUAGCUGGACAAGAAGCGCCGGCUAACUACGUG
rnacentral:rRNA from 1 species